rnacentral:rRNA from 1 species
AUUGAACGCUGGCGGCAGGCCUAACACAUGCAAGUCGAACGAGUGGCGGACGGGUGAGUAAUGUCUGGGAAAGUGCCUGAUGGAGGGGGAUAACUACUGGAAACGGUAGCUAAUACCGCAUACCAUCAGAUGUGCCCAGAUGGGAUUAGCUAGUUGGCGGGGUAACGGCUCACCAAGGCGACGAUCCCUAGAUGGUCUGAGAGGAUGACAUGCCACAUUGGAACUGAGACAAGGUCCAGAUUCCUACGGGAGGCCGCAGUGGGGAAUCUUGCACAAUGGGCGCAAGCCUGAUGCAGCCAUGCCGCGUGUAUGAAGAAGGCCUUCGGGGUGUAAAGUACUUUCAGCGGGGAGGCGUUACCCGCAGAAGCAGCACCGGCUAACUCCGUGCCAGCAGCCGCGGUAAUUC